rnacentral:rRNA from 1 species
AAAAUAUAAAUUAAUAAAAAUAUAAUUAAUAAAAUUAAUUUUAAUAAUAAAAUGGGGGGUUUUAGUAUUAAUUAAGAAAUAAUUAUAAAAUUUAUAGAAUAAUAUUAUUGUAAAAGAAUUUUGAAAUAAUAAUGAAAAUAAAUUUGUUAAAAAGUAAAUUUUAUUUAUUGUAUCUUGUGUAUCAGAGUUUAUUAAAAAAGUUUUUUAGGUGAAAGUUUCUCGAAUUAAAAAGAGAUAAUUAAUUAAAAAAGUUAUUGUAGCAAAAAUAUUUUAAAUAAUUAAUUUGAAAUGAAAUGUUAAUCGUUUUUUAAUAUAUCUAGUUUUUUUAGAAAAAAAUUUAAUUUUAUAUUUAUUUAAUAAAUUAAUUAAUUUUUCUUAAUUAUUUUAAUAAUAAAAUUUUAUAUUUUAAGGGAUAAGCUUUAAAUUAAAUUUUUAUAAUUAAUAAAUUUUUAUAAUUAUAAAAUUUUUAAAAUUUAUAUUGUUUAAAAAAUUUAAUUUAUUAUAAAUAAUUUUAUACAAUAAAUAAAAUUUUAUAAAAAAAAUUUAAUUUUAUAUAGAAAAAUAAUUUUUAUUAAAAUAAAAUUAGAUAUAAUGAUAAAAUUAGUAUAAAUUAAAUAUUAUUAAAAACAAAAAUAAUGUAAUUUAUUUAAAUUAAUUCAAAGGAAUUCGGCAAAUAUUUAUAUUCACUUGUUUAUCAAAAACAUGUCUUUUUGAAAAUAAUUUAAAGUCUAAUCUGCCCACUGAUAAAUAUAUUAAAGGGCUGCAGUAUUUUGACUGUACAAAGGUAGCAUAAUCAUUAGUCUCUUAAUUGGUGACUUGUAUGAAGGAUUGAAUGAAAUAUAGACUGUCUCUAAAUUAAAGUUAGAAUUUAAUUUUUUAAUCAAAAAGUUAAAAUAGAUUUAAAAGACGAGAAGACCCUAUAGAGUUUUAUAGAUAAUUAUAUUAAAAUUUUUUAUAAAUUUAAUAAUUAAAAUAUUAAUUAUUUAUUUUAUUGGGGUGAUAGAAAAAUAAAAAAAACUUUUUUUUAAAAAAAACAUAAAUAAGUGAAUAAGUUGAUCCAAAAUUUUUGAUUAAAAGAAAAAAUUACCUUAGGGAUAACAGCGUAAUUUUUUUUUUUAGUUCAAAUAAAAAAAAAAGUUUGCGACCUCGAUGUUGGAUUAAGAUAAAAUUUAAAUGCAAAAGUUUAAAAUUUUGAUCUGUUCGAUCAUUAAAAUCUUACAUGAUCUGAGUUCAAACCGGUGUGAGCCAGGUUGGUUUCUAUCUUUAAAUAAAUGAAAUAUUUUAGUACGAAAGGAUUAAAUAUUUAAAUUAAAUUUAUUGAGUUGAAUUUUAUUAAAUAAAAUUAUAA